CGACUUAUAUUCUGUAGCAAGGUUAACCGUAUAGGGGAGCCGGAGGGAAACCGAGUCUUAAUUGGGCGUUAAGUUGCAGGGUAUAGACCCGAAACCCGGUGAUCUAGCCAUGGGCAGGUUGAAGGUUGGGUAACACUAACUGGAGGACCGAACCGACUAAUGUUGAAAAAUUAGCGGAUGACCUGUGGCUGGGGGUGAAAGGCCAAUCAAACCGGGAGAUAGCUGGUUCUCCCCGAAAGCUAUUUAGGUAGCGCCUCGUGAAUUCAUCUCCGGGGGUAGAGCACUGUUUCGGCUAGGGGGCCAUCCCGGCUUACCAACCCGAUGCAAACUGCGAAUACCGGAGAAUGUUAUCACGGGAGACACACGGCGGGUGCUAACGUCCGUCGUGAAGAGGGAAACAACCCAGACCGCCAGCUAAGGUCCCAAAGUCAUGGUUAAGUGGGAAACGAUGUGGGAAGGCCCAGACAGCCAGGAUGUUGGCUUAGAAGCAGCCAUCAUUUAAAGAAAGCGUAAUAGCUCACUGGUCGAGUCGGCCUGCGCGGAAGAUGUAACGGGGCUAAACCAUGCACCGAAGCUGCGGCAGCGACACUGUGUGUUGUUGGGUAGGGGAGCGUUCUGUAAGCCUGUGAAGGUGU
rnacentral:rRNA from 1 species